CCGUCUUCACGAGAAUGAUUUACACCUCAUUUCAUCUGUAAAGUUAUGUUCCUAUCUCCUUCAUUCUAUAACUCCCGACAGUCUACAGAAGUAAAAUAUUCAAGGAGCAAACGAUCAAGAAAAACAGGCGAGGAACUCCAGUGUUGAUAUACGAUCACUAACAAAGGCAAGUAAUAUAUGGUCACGUUAUUUGUAACAGCGUUUGCUUAGCGCUAAGAUAAAUGAGCGGCUGCUGAAAUCUGUGGAAAACUGAUGUUGUCCAGGCAACUAGUUCUUGCAUACAUCCUGCGGAUGGGCUCAUGGUGCACGGUUCUGUCGACAAAAGAUGUUCACCAGGCACCAUGGGAUAGCAAGCUUCCAAAAUAUUUCAGUUCGCUGUUUGUGCGCGAUUCAGAACGAAAGCAGUCUGGUAUAAUGGAGAGGAAUUACAAAAUCUAUUGUCAGCACUACCGUUGCUACAAAGGUGGCAACGAGUGUCCAGAUCGGUGCAAGUGCCCGACCUGGUUGCAGCAAGUACUCGGAGAACGCAAUUCCUGUAUCUUCGACAAAUAAACAAAGGGAAACGAA